AUACGGAGGGGGUUAGCGUUGUUCGGAAUUACGGGGCGUAAAGCGCACGUAGGCGGACUGGAAAGUUGGGGGUGAAAUCCCGGGGCUCAACCUCGGAACUGCCUCCAAAACUUCCAAUCUAGAGAUCGAGAGAGGUGAGUGGAAUUCCAAGUGUAGAGGUGAAAUUCGUAGAUAUUUGGAGGAACACCAGUGGCGAAGGCGGCUCACUGGCUCGAUACUGACGCUGAGGUGCGAAAGCGUGGGGAGCAAACAGGAUUAGAAACCCUAGUAGUCC
rnacentral:rRNA from 1 species